rnacentral:rRNA from 1 species
AUUAGGUAGUUGGUGAGGUUAUAGCUUACCAAGCCGAUGAUUUUUAUUUGGUCUGAGAGGAUGAUCAGCCAUACUGGGACUGAAACAAGGCCCAGGCUUUUGCCAGCAGUGAGGAAUUUUGGACAAUGGGCGAAAGCUUGACCCAGUAAUGUUGCGUGAACGAGGAAGGCAUA